rnacentral:lncRNA from 10 species
UAUUUCUGGAACCUAGAGAAAGAUUGGAGCCCUGAGGAAAGGGACUCUCAAUAGAAAUGAUAAUUCAGCCACUGUGAGAAUUAAAACCAUGGAAGACCCAUGAUUUUAGGUUGACCUCACAAGAGGGCAGAGGACGAGGGAGUCUGGGUAACUUAGAACCCGUUCUUCAUGUUUUAGUGGCCAGUCUCCUGACCCUAUAGGCACAGGGCAGAGGAGAAGAGGGCUGGCCUCAGAGCCUGGAGUAGAGCUGGAUUAGA